rnacentral:misc_RNA from 1 species
GGGCAGCGACGACGUCUCGACCAAGCCUCUUCAGUUGUUGGUUCAAGCGCGAGCAYGCCUUGGCCGACGUCGGUUUCCUGUGCUGAAUUCCCACACAAAGGGUAACGUUUCGGCCACCAUCGUCCCGUACUCCUCCUUUCGUCGCUGCUCCGCACGGAGACGCGGCGCGGGGAGGACAUCAAAGCCCCCGUCGUGUUUCGCAAUCCGCGCACCCCUCCACACGGGGUGCCGGGUUGUCGACCCACGACGUCGUGCUCGAUCUCUCGGAUGCGGAAAACCAAGCGGCUACGAGGCCACGGCCUCCACUGCCCCACACAAGAGCGUCUCACGCUCCCUGCGGACGACUGCCGAUCGGGUCUUGUUCCGUAGCCCUCGCGGCUCGGACCAUGCCCGCCCGGCGUCGACGAGGAAUGCUACCUGGUUGAUCCUGCCAGUAGU